GCAUUGAGGGCCCGAUUUCCGGCUAUAGCAUGAGCUGAAAGCCCCUGGAGGUGUCCAGGGCCUGCAAAGCAUUGCCCCGACCCCCUAAAAACAGGGCUUCACCAGCGCCAUUUGGAUAGAUAGGAUUUCAAGACCUUA